rnacentral:rRNA from 1 species
GAUGAACGCUGGCGGCGUGCCUAACACAUGCAAGUCGAACGGGGAUUUUGUUUCGGCAGAAUCCUAGUGGCAAACGGGUGAGUAACGCGUAGGCAACCUGCCUUUGGGAUGGGGACAACAGGACGAAAGCCCUGCUAAUACCGAAUGAGGUGUUUUUCCCGCAUGGGGGAGACAUGAAAGAUGGCCUCUACUUGUAAGCUAUCGCCCAAAGAUGGGCCUGCGUCUGAUUAGCUGGUUGGCGGGGUAGCGGCCCACCAAGGCGACGAUCAGUAGCCGGUCUGAGAGGAUGAACGGCCACAUUGGGACUGAGACACGGCCCAGACUCC